UACGUAGGGGGGCAAGCGUUGUCCGGAAUUAUUGGGCGUAAAGAGCGCGUAGGCGGUCCGAUAAGUCGGCUGUGAAAGUCCAGGGCUCAACCCUGGAAAGCCGGCCGAUACUGUCGGACUAGAGUCCGGAAGAGGCAAGUGGAAUUCCCGGUGUAGCGGUGAAAUGCGCAGAUAUCGGGAGGAACACCGGUGGCGAAGGCGGCCACCUGGACGGUCACUGACGCUGAGACGCGAAAGCGUGGGUAGCAAACAGG
rnacentral:rRNA from 1 species